GAUGAACGCUGGCGGCGUGCCUAAUACAUGCAAGUCGAGCGAACAGACGAGGAGCUUGCUCCUCUGACGUUAGCGGCGGACGGGUGAGUAACACGUGGAUCACCUACCUCUAAGACUGGGAUAACUUCGGGAAACCGCAGCUACUACCAGAUAAUAUAUUGAACCGCAUGGUUCAAUAGUGAAAGACGGUUUUGCUGUCACUUAUAGAUGGAUCCGCGCCGCAUUAGCUAGUUGGUAAGGUAACGGCUUACCAAGGCAACGAUGCGUAGCCGACCUGAGAGGGUGAUCGGCCACACUGGAACUGAGACACGGUCCAGACUCCUACGGGAGGCAGCAGUAGGGAAUCUUCCGCAAUGGGCGAAAGCCUGACGGAGCAACGCCGCGUGAGUGAUGAAGGUCUUCGGAUCGUAAAGCUCUGUUAUUAGGGAAGAACAAAUGUGUAAGUAACUAUGGACGUCUUGACGGUACCUAAUCAGAAAGCCACGGCUAACUACGUG
rnacentral:rRNA from 1 species